AAGACCUUGCGCUUUUGGAGCGGCCGAUGCCUGAUUAGCUUGUUGGUAAGGUAAAGGCUUACCAAGGCUUCGAUCAGUAGCUGGUCUGAGAGGACGGCCAGCCACACUGGGACUGAGACACGGCCCAGACUCCUACGGGAGGCAGCAGUGGGGAAUUUUGGACAAUGAGGGAAACCCUGAUCCAGCCAUGCCGCGUGAGUGAAGAAGGCCUUCGGGUUGUAAAGCUCUUUCAGCCGGAACGAAACGGUUACGGAUAAUACCCGUGACUACUGACGGUACCGGAAGAAGAAGCACCGGCUAACUACGUGCCAGCAGCCGCGGUAAUACGUAGGGUGCGAGCGUUAAUCGGAAUUACUGGGCGUAAAGCGUGCGCAGGUGGUUUUGUAAGUCAGAUGUGAAAGCCCCGGGCUCAACCUGGGAACU
rnacentral:rRNA from 1 species